AGAGCGAACGCUGGCGGCAGGCUUAACACAUGCAAGUCGAGCGGGCGUAGCAAUACGUCAGCGGCAGACGGGUGAGUAACGCGUGGGAACAUACCUUUUGGUUCGGAACAACACAGGGAAACUUGUGCUAAUACCGGAUAAGCCCUUACGGGGAAAGAUUUAUCGCCGAAAGAUUGGCCCGCGUCUGAUUAGCUAGUUGGUGAGGUAAUGGCUCACCAAGGCGACGAUCAGUAGCUGGUCUGAGAGGAUGAUCAGCCACAUUGGGACUGAGACACGGCCCAAACUCCUACGGGAGGCAGCAGUGGGGAAUAUUGGACAAUGGGCGCAAGCCUGAUCCAGCCAUGCCGCGUGAGUGAUGAAGGCCCUAGGGUUGUAAAGCUCUUUGUGCGGGAAGAUAAUGACGGUACCGCAAGAAUAAGCCCGGCUAACUUCGUGCCAGCAGCCGC
rnacentral:rRNA from 1 species